rnacentral:rRNA from 1 species
GACGAACGCUGGCGGCGUGCCUAAUACAUGCAAGUCGAAAGCAGUGGGGACGGGUGAGUAACACGUGGGUAACCUCCCAUCAGAGGGGAUAACACUUGGAAACAGGUGCUAAACCGAUACGGCUGGAUGGCACAGCGGUGCAUUAGCUAGUUGGUGAGGUAACGGCUCACCAGGGCCACGAUGCAUAGCCGACCUGAGAGGGUGAUCGGCCACACUGGGAAUGAGACCCGGCCCAGACUCCUACGGGAGGCAGCAGUAGGGAAUCUUCGGCAAUGGACGAAAGUCGUACCGAGCAACGCCGCGUGAGUGAAGAAGGUUUUCGGAUCGUAAAACUCUGUUGUUAGAGAAGCGGUAUCUACCCAGAAAGCCACGGCUAACUACGUGCCAGCCGCCGCGGUAAUUC